AGAGUUUGAUCAUGGCUCAGAUUGAACGCUGGCGGAAUGCUUUACACAUGCAAGUCGAACGGCAGCACGGGUGCUUGCACCUGGUGGCGAGUGGCGAACGGGUGAGUAAUGCACCGGAACGUAUCCAAUAAUGGGGGAUAACGCACCGAAAGGUGUGCUAAUACCGCAUACGCCCUGAGGGGGAAAGCGGGGGAUCGUAAGACCUCGCGUUAAUGGAGCGGCCGAUGCCGGAUUAGCUAGUUGGUGAGGUAAAGGCUCACCAAGGCGACGAUCCGUAGCUGGUCUGAGAGGACGACCAGCCACACUGGAACUGAGACACGGUCCAGACUCCUACGGGAGGCAGCAGUGGGGAAUUUUGGACAAUGGGCGCAAGCCUGAUCCAGCCAUUCCGCGUGAGUGAAGAAGGCCUUCGGGUUGUAAAGCUCUUUCGCAAGGAAAGAAAACUUAUCUCCUAAUACGAGGUGAGGUUGACGGUACCUUGAUAAGAAGCACCGGCUAACUACGUG
rnacentral:rRNA from 1 species